UACGAAGGGGGCUAGCGUUGUUCGGAAUUACUGGGCGUAAAGCGCACGUAGGCGGACAUUUAAGUCAGGGUGAAAUCCCGGGGCUCAACCCCGGAACGGCCUUUGAUACUGGUGUCUUGAGUUCGGAAGAGGUGAGUGGAAUUGCGAGUGUAGAGGUGAAAUUCGUAGAUAUUCGCAGGAACACCAGUGGCGAAGGCGGCUCACUGGUCCGAUACUGACGCUGAGGUGCGAAAGCGUGGGGAGCAAACAGG
rnacentral:rRNA from 1 species